CCCGCCGCUCCUUAUCUGCUGCGACGCGAGCGCAGGGCCGCCGUCCUGUCUGCCACUCCGAACCUCCGCGGAUCGCCAUAGGCAUCCCUGCCCGCCACUCCUCCUCUGCUGCAGACGCCGGCGCACGGCCGCCGCCCUGCCAGCCGCUCCUCCUCCGCGGAUCGCCCUUCUGCUCUGCUGCCCAACGGAUGCAUCGCGGAUCGCCAUCACCAUCACCGCUCGCCGCUCCUCCUCUGCUUCCCCACGGGCUCGCCGUUGUCCGCUCUCCUCUUGGUCGGCUGCUGCCCCACAGACUCGAGCACGGUCCGCCAACGCCGCCACGUUCAGGCCCUCGCCAGCGGCAAACUUUGAUCAGGUUUUUUUCACAUUAACAUCAAGCCACCAAUUGGGUGUACGGUGUACCUCGUACUCUAUAUAGCAAUCAAAGGGAUCUGGUUUCAUGAAACACCAUGGAUAGGCCAACAAAAUAAUUAGAAGAAACCCAUGUGAUUUUCCUUUUGGUAAACCACUACGACGUGCUUCAUAUUCAGCUUUCUGCUUGCAUGCUUGAAGUGUAUACAGAUUGCAUGUUUCUGUUCUGGAUUUAUCCGAACCAUUUGAUUCCAAAUUAUAUGUAGUCAGGAGGAGAUUUCUACAGGGUCUAUAGGGCGAAGCAAAAAAAACUCUCAGAUAUCUCUUCUGAUUGAUGUGAAAUUCAUGUCUUUACAGGAAUUGACAAUUUUGGAAGGUGAGAAUAGAUGCAAUGCAGAGAAACAAAAGCACUCAUACAUCUCUUUUAAAUAUUGGGUCUGUACUUUGCCACUCAUCAUAUUAUAAUACUACUACAUAUAGAAAGGGUGGAGCUGAUAAGUGAGGUAGUACCCAACUGAAGUAUCGUUUUGUUUUUAAUUUCUUUUUCGUACCUAGGACUUCCUUGUACUGAUAUAUGCAGAUAGCCUUAUAUGAGCCUCCAAUUCAGCUUGCAGUUGCUCAACUAUGAUGUAUUGUGCUUCCAUAUGCUUGUUUAAUAAUCAGUCGUGGGAAAAUAGCCACAAAACUAACGGUUGGUCAAACAAACAUCAAAAGCUGGUCUGAUAAGCUGAAUUAUCAUAAUCCAACGCAAUGCCAAACAGAGCCUAUUAAACUGCAAGAAAAGUACUACAUAAAAGCUUGUGAACUUUUAAGGAUCCAGUUUUGAUCCCUGUGCAUUUCUCGCAACAUUUAAGAAUCCAGUCUAGAUCCCUGUGUAUUAUGAAUUUAUUAGAGGUGUACCAUCAUUAUGUGCUUGACCUGAUUUAAGAAGUUCGCCAUUUUGUUUUUUUAAUCCCAUUGGUUUUUAAACGUGACACUGAUGAAGAAUCAUCAUCCACCUCCAUCCCCGGUAGGAUCAGGGGAAUGUUGCCUGUUUAAAGACCUCAAGAAUAUGCCUAUUCAUGUGAAUGCAAAUCAAGCGGGCGAAGAACUGCGAGAAAAAAACCCAAAGAGUGGUCAAAAUGGGUGGGCGCGAAUGUCCAAUGACAAAAGAGCAGAAUACAUCAAGAAGCGACGGGCGGUCCGCGCAGAAAAGAAGGCUGCAUCUCUGAUUAGCAUUGACCAUGGGCAAGUACGUCAAACACAUGGUUCGUUCAUUAACUUUGCAGAGUACUGUAUUGAGAGAUUGUGCUGUCGUAAGUAAUGUGUUAUGUUUCCUAUUGUUGCACGUGUAAUAUGUACCACUGCAGCCUCGACUGAUAUGAACCAUCGCCCAGAAGAUGCAGGCGUUGGGUGCAACAAAUGAAGUGGUCAAGGGUGGUAUGCAAGUCUAUCCGACGAGAAGAAAGCAGAGCACUGCAAGAAGCUCCGGAUCUCCAGACUAGCAAAGAAAGCUGCAGCCACCAACGUCCAAGUAUCACGUGGACGUUUCGACAAAUAAUUUCUAACACUAUGAAGUGCAUAUGAUGCAAUGUAGCAUUGUAGGUAUUGGUCAACUUGAAUCAACACAAUCUUCCGUCAACAUGCUAAACACACCAUGCAGAGGGUCAUCUAUAAUUGAAGGGGCCCAGGGACAAGAAAGCUUUCUGCCUAGAAGUAACUCAGUUCGAUCAGUUCAACUGAAAGAGGCAUCUUCUGGGAAGAAACGGCGGCGUUUGAGAGAACAAUAUGUUUGGAUGAUGGCAGAAGAUAAAGAAGGUACUCUUUGGCCACUGGAGAAGCCUGUGCUCUGUAAUGCGUUGGUGAAUUACACACCGGCACAUCUCCGGGAAGAUGCUGAUGCAGGCAAGCCACCAUAUAAAAAUCAGGGACUUUUUUUAGACAAAUCAGAGAAAUUCUCAGUAAGUGGCACUCUAAUGCAAACUUAAAUCAUAAUAAAAAAAUGUCGAAUGCUAUUUUUAACCUGAAUUAUUUACUUGGCAUAUGAUUAUCUUCUUUAUCGCCGACUAAUGUGUUCAAAUGUUCACCAUAUUAUUGGUGGAAGUAAUUUUGCAUCGGUUGUUUGGAGCGCUCAAGUUUUGCAUCGAAAAUUACGGUUGUUUGUUUUAGUUGGUUGUUUCCAAGCUUUCACUUCAUAUUCUCAACUUCAUCUCAGCCGCUUUCAAGCUUAAAUAGAGUAGGUCACCUAUAUGUCAGGUCCACACAUGUAUAAAUUAGCGUAAAAAAUGUUUUAUGCUAAGAAUCUGUGCAUACUGGAAGGGGAAAUUAGAUCAUACAUCUCGGUACCUCCAAAGAAUAUAUAUCAGAUGUUUAAGUUUUCAUUUUUUUUUGCUUUAUUUCAGGAUUGAUGGAGAAGUUGGUCUGCAGUUCAAGCUGGAUUGUGAUUUACAUGGCUAGCCUGACCACAAAUUAUUCUAAGCUUAGUAGAAAACUCACAUAUAUGAUAACGGUUUAGAACUUCAAUCUAAUUUCUACAUGAUUCUCAAUGUGCAGAUUUUACUUUUGUUUACCUCUAAAAAAUAUGUUAAUUUCGUUUAACCAUUUUCUGCUAGGAAUAAUGUUGAUUUGAAUUCCUUUAAACUUUCCAGCCAACCUCGAAGCCUACCACAUAACUAGAAGCACAGUUGUUCCAUUACAUAGAUAAUGUUUAUUAGGUUUGGGGAGUUAUGACCCUUUGCUGCUGUUCAUUUUUCAGGGGACUGUACCAUACCAUGUUCUGAGUAUUUAAUGUUGGGAUUAAAGUCUAUAAUGAGCCCACAUGAUUUCAAUGAUAAGCUGGCCUGAAGUAUUUUUUAUGCUUUAGAUGGCUUGCUGAGAUGACAAAAGAUAUUGUAUGGCCAUUGCUUUAUACUCACUGGUUACCUCCCAUCUGGAGCUUAGUGUUAGUAUCAACAAGUCCUGUUACCCAUCACAUUGAUGGUGUGUGUCCAUGUUAUCCACUGGCAGCACACCAUUCCUUGUGAUUUGAAACUCCUUUUUUUUCAUUAGUUUUAGUUCUAUGCAGUCAUGGAAUAGGAAUGGUCUCAAUCUACCAAUUUGCAGGGUUAGUUUUCAUUGUUUCGCAUUUUGACAUUCUACUAUGUGAAAACUCCUAAGAUAAUAACUUAAUAUUCUCAUUCA